CGUACACUCCUACGGGAGGCAGCAGUGGGGAAUAUUGGACAAUGGGCGCAAGCCUGAUCCAGCCAUGCCGCGUGAGUGAUGAAGGCCCUAGGGUUGUAAAGCUCUUUCACCGGUGAAGAUAAUGACGGUAACCGGAGAAGAAGCCCCGGCUAACUUCGUGCCAGCAGCCGCGGUAAUACGAAGGGGGCUAGCGUUGUUCGGAUUUACUGGGCGUAAAGCGCACGUAGGCGGACUAUUAAGUCAGGGGUGAAAUCCCGGGGCUCAACCCCGGAACUGCCUUUGAUACUGGUAGUCUUGAGUUCGAGAGAGGUGAGUGGAAUUCCGAGUGUAGAGGUGAAAUUCGUAGAUAUUCGGAGGAACACCAGUGGCGAAGGCGGCUCACUGGCUCGAUACUGACGCUGAGGUGCGAAAGCGUGGGGAGCAAACAGGAUUAGAAAUCCUGGUAGUCCC
rnacentral:rRNA from 1 species